UAGGGAAUCUUCGGCAAUGGGGGGAACCCUGACCGAGCAACGCCGCGUGAGUGAAGAAGGUUUUCGGAUCGUAAAGCUCUGUUGUUAAGGAAGAACGAGUGUGAGAAUGGAAAGUUCAUGCUGUUACGGUACUUAACCAGAAAGGGACGGCUAACUACGUGCCAGCAGCCGCGGUAAUACGUAGGUCCCGAGCGUUGUCCGGAUGUAUUGGGCGUUAAGCGAGCGCAGGCGGUUAGAAAAGUCUGAAGUGAAAGGCAGUGGCUCAACCAUUGUAGGCUUUGGAAACUGUGUAACUUGAGUGCAGAAGGGGAGGGUGGAAUUCCAUGUGUAGCGGUGAAAUGCGUAGAUAUAUGGAGGAACACCGGUGGCGAAAGCGGCUCUCUGGUCUGUAACUGACGCUGAGGCUGGAAAGCGUGGGGAGCAAACAGG
rnacentral:rRNA from 1 species